AAAAGGAGAAAAUGGAUUGAUUGAUACAGGGAUCCAGGGGGUACCGAAAAAGGGACAAUGCUUCAACUGAAUGUGCCAUUCAUUUACAUGUACCAGUAUAGAUCUGUUACUGAGGCAUAUCCAAUAAUUCUUAUACUCAUGAAAAGUGUGGCAACUUCCAAGUAUUGAUGCUGGGAAUCAUUUUAAUCAGAAGAUGCUCACUUCUAGGAUGUUUCCAAGUUCUUGUUAAAAGUGUUUUAUAUGGCACCAUUCAGCUACAAAUAUUUUGCCAGUGGAACUGUGACAUCAAUCAACUGCUCAUGCACUGCUAAUUGGCAGAGAAUUUCCUUUGGGAGAAGCAAACUGUUUCAAACAUUUUAC